UACGAAGGGGGCUAGCGUUGUUCGGAAUCACUGGGCGUAAAGCGCACGUAGGCGGCCUCUUAAGUCGGGGGUGAAAUCCUGGAGCUCAACUCCAGAACUGCCUUCGAUACUGAGAGUCUUGAGUCCGGGAGAGGUGAGUGGAACUGCGGGUGUAGAGGUGAAAUUCGUAGAUAUUCGCAAGAACACCAGUGGCGAAGGCGGCUCACUGGACUGGUAUUGACGCUGAGGUGCGAAAGCGUGGGGAGCAAACAGG
rnacentral:rRNA from 1 species